rnacentral:lncRNA from 1 species
CAACUUCUCCAUAUUUUGCUUUGCGUAAUCAUCAGAAAACUCGCCAUCUAAAUCAUUUUCAAUAUAUCAAAGUUAGGCAUACAUGUUCAACAUUGCUUCAAUAUAUCAAAUUAAGCAUUUACAAAAUUAUGCCAUAAUUCUAAAACACUGCAUAAAGUUGAGGACAAAUAUAGAAUUGAAGAUAAAUUGAUCUGGGGUUAUGAGCAACAACAAAAUAGCAACCAUAUUAUUGUUUUUUUUACCUGUUUUUUUCACCACUUUCAAUGCAAGCAAGCUCGGGUUGAUUGAGAAAUUAAUCUUCUUCUUUCUCCAAUAUGUAGUGCUUUCUUCAGUUCAAGUUAUGCAAGCAGUAAACAAAAAGCAGCAAGAUUACAUCAUAUAUAUAUAGUGCUGGCACAACUGUUAUAUACGAGGAAUAAAUUUCAUUCUCCGAUACCCCUUCACACGAUGGAGCUAGGUAUAUAUCUAUCAAGCCCAAUUUUAAAUCUAAAGUCGUGAAAGGUUAGGGGAGAAGACCUUUGGUGAAAAAGUCCACAACUUGUUCUUGAAAACUCACAGAUGACAAAAGCAAUACACCAGUUUGUACUUGGUCAA